rnacentral:rRNA from 1 species
GAUGAACGCUGGCGGCAUGCUUAACACGUGCAAGUCGGACGGGAAGUGGGGUUUCCAGUGGCGGAGGGGUGAGCAACGCGUAAGAACGUGCCCGGGGGAGGGGAACAACAGCUGGAAACGGCUGCUAAAACCCCGUAGGCAGAGGAGCAAAAGGUGGAAUCCGCCGGAGGGGGGGCUGGCGAAUGAUUGGCUAGUUGGUGAGGCAAUAGCUUACCUAGGCGAUGGCCAGGAGCGGGUCCGAGUGGGUGAUCAGCCACGCUGGGACUGAGACACGGCCCAGGCACCUUCGGGAGACAGCAGUACGCAUUAUUCCGCAAUGCGGGCUGGGCUGACAUCGCAAUGCCGCGGGGAGGCAGCAGGCCUACGGAUCGUGACCUUCUUUUCCCGAAGAUGACGCAAUGACGGUAUCUGAGGAAUAAGCAUCGGCUAACUCUGUG